rnacentral:rRNA from 1 species
CCUACGGGAGGCUGCAGUGGGGAAUAUUGGGCAAUGGAGGAAACUCUGACCCAGCAACGCCGCGUGAAUGAUGAAGGUCUUCGGAUUGUAAAGCUCUUUUCUCAGGGAAGAAGAAAGUGACGGUACCUUAGGAAUAAGCCUCGGCUAACUACGUGCCAGCAGCCGCGGUAAUACGUAGGCGGCAAGCGUUAUCCGGAAUGACUGGGUGUAAAGGGUGCGUAGGUGGUUUGACAAGUUGGUGGGGUAAUUCCGGGGCUCAACCCCGGCACUGCAGCCGAAACUGUCUGACUUGAGUGCAGGAGGGGCAAGUGGAAUUCCUAGUGUAGCGGUGAAAUGCGUAGAUAUUAGGAGGAACACCAGUUGCGAAGGCGAUUUGCUGGACUGUAACUGACACUGAGGCACGAAAGCGUGGGGAGCAAACAGGAUUAGAUACCCCUGUAGUC